GUCGCAUGUCACCGAUCGAUUGGGCCGCCGCUCCAGCCAGCCACGAGCAUUUCCCGGCGUUGGCACUCGCGUUCGUCCAUGUGUGUCGCAGCAACAGUGCACACGUUAACGUUGAGAGGACCAAGGAUCUGGGAUUCGACCAAGACAGGUGGAAUUUCAGCGCAUUUCAUCCAUUUCGGAAAUCAGCGAUGACAAUGAAGAUGACAGAGGGGAAAAGACUACAAGGAAGAGGAAAGCAUUAAGAUCUGCUGCAACGAAGUGCAGACAAAAACGUACCAGAACACGAUCGCCCCAGCUAGAUCCGUUGGUCCACUCCUGGAGGUAAAAUCUUUCAAAUCGAGCUCCUUUGGUCUCUCUCUGAGUCUCUGCAUAGCUAUAGGUUUACAACAAGCUACUACGAUUGUAGUUGUUGUUUCUCAGAUUCCCAACUGCAUAACCCCAUUGAAUAUCCCUCUGUUACAGUUCAGCAUUAUUUAUGAUGGUUAAACACUUCACCUUGCCCAUUAAAAAAAUCCAGAUAUAGCUACAAUUGUUUGAUGCUCCAUGAUAGUGUGCAUUAGUUCAAAUCACUUUAGUUUAGCUGCACAUGUUAGUUUCAGUUAAAACAGCCUGUUCAUCAAACUAAUUUAAUUUAUUGGCUACUAAGCCUAUUAUACAUAACAUGUACAACUUCUUCCUUUGCCAUUCAUACUUGUGGAUAUCAAAAGGUAUUUUAUUUACUGGCUGCUGAUACAUGCUUUGCAUUUUAUUUUUCAUUUUUUUGUUUGUGCACAACUGCACAUUGCCUACACACCUACACCUUGAUAGGCAAUAUUCAGCAAAAAUUCCUCUGUUCCUGUAUGUGGAGGCAAAAGUCAAUAGCUUUUCUUGUUCUACUGUUGGCCUUGUGGUGGAGGAACAAAAAUCACAAGAGUACAGCCAAACGCAUAAAGUAUAUGCUCCACUUGCGCAGAGGGAUAUAUGGCAUAGUAGUGAGCUAAUUAGGUUGAUUGAUACCUCAGA